rnacentral:rRNA from 1 species
UACGGGGGGAGCAAGCGUUGUUCGGAUUUACUGGGCGUAAAGGGCGCGUAGGCGGCCAGCGCAAGUCGGUUGUGAAAUCUCCGGGCUUAACUCGGAAAGGUCAACUGAUACUGCGCGGCUAGAGUGCAGAAGGGGCAACUGGAAUUCUCGGUGUAGCGGUGAAAUGCGUAGAUAUCGAGAGGAACACCUGCGGCGAAGGCGGGUUGCUGGGCUGACACUGACGCUGAGGAGCGAAAGCCAGGGGAGCAAACGGG